GACGAACGCUGGCGGCGUGCCUAAUACAUGCAAGUUGAGCGCUGAAGGUUGGUACUUGUACCAACUGGAUGAGCAGCGAACGGGUGAGUAACGCGUGGGGAAUCUGCCUUUGAGCGGGGGACAACAUUUGGAAACGAAUGCUAAUACCGCAUAAAAACUUUAAACACAAGUUUUAAGUUUGAAAGAUGCAAUUGCAUCACUCAAAGAUGAUCCCGCGUUGUAUUAGCUAGUUGGUGAGGUAAAGGCUCACCAAGGCGAUGAUACAUAGCCGACCUGAGAGGGUGAUCGGCCACAUUGGGACUGAGACACGGCCCAAACUCCUACGGGAGGCAGCAGUAGGGAAUCGUCGGCAAUGGACGAAAGUCUGACCGAGCAACGCCGCGUGAGUGAAGAAGGUUGUCGGAUCGUAAAACUCGGUUGGUAGAGAAGAACGUUGGUGAGAGUGGAAAGCUCAUCAAGUGACGGUAACUACCCAGAAAGGGACGGCUAACUACGUG
rnacentral:rRNA from 1 species